rnacentral:misc_RNA from 1 species
GUGCAAAUAUGAUUAUGUUCAAGAAAAUUCCCACGAGUAGGGACUGGGUACAAAGGGAACAUUAGUUGGUACAACGGUAAAACUAAACUACAGUGGUGUCUGCUUGAAUUUUGAGUUUUUCUUUUUUCCACUUCUGCCUCUUGUUCUUCUUUUUGUUUGUUUAUAUCAAGUUUAACAACACUGGCAAGUAUUGUAUUCAUUAUGGUGGGAGGCGA